rnacentral:rRNA from 1 species
AUGUUCUCUUCACACACACACACUCACACAAAAGAAGAAGGAGAAGAAGAAGAAGAAGAAGAAGAAGAAGAAAGCAAGAAGAGGAGGAAGGACAACACAGAAAGCAGAGCCAUGGAGCACUCCUAUAGCAGCAACAGCGGCAUCAGCAACUACGGCAGCGCAAAAGAGAGGAGGCCUCCGCUGAAGAGGGGGCAGCUGAAGCGGCAGAUCAUGCGGACCAUCAGCAACCUCAUGGCGCCCAGGAACGCCGGCGCCGGCGCGGACAAGAGAGCGUCAGGCCGCACCACCUUCGGCGCCUACAACUGA